AACGAACGCUGGCGGCAGGCUUAACACAUGCAAGUCGAACGAGAUCUUCGGAUCUAGUGGCAGACGGGUGAGGAACACGUGGGAACAUCCCUUUCAGUUCGGAAUAACGUUGGGAAACUAACGCUAAUACCGGAUACGUCCUUCGGGAGAAAGAUUUAUCGCUGAAAGAUUGGCCCGCGUCUGAUUAGCUAGUUGGUGAGGUAACGGCUCACCAAGGCUACGAUCAGUAGCUGAUCUGAGAGGAUGAUCAGCCACAUUGGGACUGAGACACGGCCCAAACUCCUACGGGAGGCCGCAGCGGGGAAUAUUGGACAAUGGGCGCAAGCCUGAUCCAGCCAUGCCGCGUGAGUGAUGACGGCCUUCGGGUUGUAAAGCUCUUUUGUCCGGGAAGAUAAUGACUGUACCGGAAGAAUAAGCCCCGGCAGACUUCGUGCCAGCAGCCGCCGUAA
rnacentral:rRNA from 1 species